rnacentral:tRNA from 1 species
AAGAGAUUAGUUAAAAUAUAACAUUAAUUUGUCAAAUUAAAAUUAUUCAUUAAUAUCACUUA